rnacentral:lncRNA from 1 species
ACGGCGAAGACGGCCCUGGCUCUUUUCAAUCAAACGAGGGAGGGGGAGAUGAGUACAUACAUGCAGACCAUCAUCACAUGAAGCACUGUCGCUACUUCUUGACAGAAAUGGAGAGAGAGAGAGAGAGCAGAACCAGAGCAGGGGGGAGGAGAAAGUAUUGAGAUUGAUGAUGUAGCUGAUAGGUACGUACAUGGGGUGAUUAAAAAGACCUAAUCUGUCAGGCGAAGGACGUCGUCCGCGAGGCUGGCUGCGAUCUGGCGUCCUCGAACUGUUCUGCGUCGUCGAACUUGUCGUCGGAUUUCAAGCAGGCGGGGAUGUAGGCGGCGAAGAGGGCCUCCAGGUUGGGGGUCUGCUUGGCCUUGUGGCUGGCGGCGACCUCCAGUGGGACGCGGUCGAAGGCGUCGUAGAAGCGGGCAUGGCAGAUGUAGGCGAAGGCGAGGGACAGCACCGGCAGCGGCAGCAGGAAGGGGGCGUAGACGAAUUUCUUCACCCCGAAGUAGCCGAUCAUCGUCGCCUGGUAGAUGAUUAGCGCCGCGAUGAUCCUCGU